rnacentral:miRNA from 1 species
AUGCAUGUAUGUGUGCAUGUACGUAUGCAUGCAUGUAUGUAUGUAUG